AUUGAACGCUGGCGGCAGGCCUAACACAUGCAAGUCGAGCGAGCGGCGGACGGUUGAGUAAUGUAUGGGGACUGCCCGAUAGAGGGGGAUAACUACUGGAAACGGUAGCUAAUACCGCAUACUAUCGGAUAACCCAUAUGGGAUUAGCUAGUGGGUGAGGUAAUGGCUCACCUAGGCGACGAUCCCUAGCUGGUCUGAGAGGAUGAUCAGCCACACUGGGACUGAGACACGGCCCAGACGCCGACGGAGGCAGCAGUGGGGAAUAUUGCGCAAUGGGCGCAAGCCUGACGCAGCCACGCCGCGUGAGUGAAGAAGGCCCUAGGGUUGUAAAGCACUGUCAGUCGGGAGGCGGUAUCGAAAGAAGAAGCAACGGCUAACUACGUGCCAGCCGCCGCGGUAAUAC
rnacentral:rRNA from 1 species